ACGGGAGGCAGCAGUGGGGAAUAUUGGACAAUGGGGGCAACCCUGAUCCAGCGACGCCGCGCGAGUGAAGAAGUAUUUCGGUAUGUAAAGCUCCUUAAGCAGGAAAGAUAGUGACGGUACCUGCAGAAUAAGCCCCGGCUAACUACGUGCCAGCAGCCGCGGUAAUACGUAGAGGGCAAGCGUUAUCCGGAUUUACUGGGUGUAAAGGGAGCGUAGACGGCAAUGCAAGUCUGAAGUGAAAGCCCGUGGCUCAACUGCGGAACUGCUUUGGAAACUGUAUAGCUAGAGUGUCGGAGAGGUGAGUGGAAUUCCCAGUGUAGCGGUGAAAUGCGUAGAUAUUGGGAGGAACACCGGCGGCGAAGGCGGCUCACUGGACGAUAACCGACGUUGAUGCUCGAAAGCGUGGGGAGCAAACAGGAUUAGAUACCCUGGUA
rnacentral:rRNA from 1 species